rnacentral:rRNA from 1 species
UACGUAGGGUGCAAGCGUUGUCCGGAAUUAUUGGGCGUAAAGAGCUCGUAGGCGGUUUGUCGCGUCUGCUGUGAAAACGCGGGGCUCAACUCCGCGCCUGCAGUGGGUACGGGCAGGCUAGAGUUCGGUAGGGGAGACUGGAAUUCCUGGUGUAGCGGUGAAAUGCGCAGAUAUCAGGAGGAACACCGGUGGCGAAGGCGGGUCUCUGGGCCGAUACUGACGCUGAGGAGCGAAAGCGUGGGGAGCGAACAGG